rnacentral:rRNA from 1 species
GAUGAACGCUAGCGGCAGGCUUAAUACAUGCAAGUCGAGGGGCAGCGCAGUGUAGCAAUACAUGGGCGGCGACCGGCAAACGGGUGCGGAACACGUACGCAACCUUCCUUUAAGUGGGGGAUAGCACAGGGAAACUUGGAUUAAUACCCCGUAAUAUUAUGAAGUGGCAUCACUUUAUACUUAUAGCUCCGGCGCUUAAAGAUGGGCGUGCGACUGAUUAGGUAGUUGGCGGGGUAACGGCCCACCAAGCCUGCGAUCAGUAACUGGUGUGAGAGCACGACCAGUCACACGGGCACUGAGACAAGGGCCCGACUCCUACGGGAGGCAGCAGUAAGGAAUAUUGGUCAAUGGACGCAAGUCUGAACCAGCCAUGCCGCGUGGAGGAUGAAGGUUCUCUGGAUUGUAAACUUCUUUUAUUUGGGAAGAAACCCACUGUUUCUACGGUGGUUGACGGUACCAGAUGAAUAAGCACCGGCUAACUCCGUGCCAGCAGCCGCCGUAA